AAAAAUCCAGCUAAUUACAGAAUUAGGCUCUAAAUCUUGCCUCGUUUUUUCAGUCAUUGAACGAUUUUGCCUGCCACCUGAAGGCAAAGUUACAUACAAACAGAUACUGAAGUUGACGAAGAAAUAUUCAGUGACCUCCUUAGACAAGGCAAUGUGGUACUGACAGUUUUCUGCUAUGAUGGUGAGAUACCAAAGCAAAUUAAAUCAACUGUUAUACAGAUUUUACCAAAGAAUGUCACUGAUGUCUAUUGUCUCUUUCUUCAGAGUUCUCAGAAUGGUCAUCUGCUUCUGAGUCUGACUCGAGCUUCGACUCAAAUGCAUCAACAUCAACAAUACUAAUGGAUGAGAUACCACGCAAGAAGCAAAAACCUGAGAAUCCUAAUAACUCAAUGUCUGCUAAGAAUGUAACAAUAUUUUUUGUCUGCUAACACAUCUAGUAAGUACCUAGAUAUAUCUGAAGAUAGUUGACUGUUCAGAGUACUCAUAAAGUUCUGAUAUUAUAUCUGAAAACUUUUAUAAAUUUGUCCUCAGGCUAUGACCAAGAAACGGCCUCGCUGUUACUUCUCUUACAUCUCCUUCCACCGCAACCAGGAGGACAGAAGUCUCCAAAAAUCAGUGCAAGUGAUGCAGUUGAGAGACUUGUUGUCUUUCAUAAGUCAUGCUGCAGUUUAGAGGAGCAUCUCCGGGGUCAACAGGGUCUGCAGCCAUACCUCCUUGCUGUUGGGCGUCAGAGAAGCAAGAUUGACAGCUUCUACAUCGUCAUGGAUAAGUGCCUCAUCCCACGCCAGACAAACGGUUCUCUUGGAGCAUUUGAUGAGCUAUUCAAAGCACAUUUUGUGAACAUUGUCUUUUCUCCUAUUCUCCCUAUGGGUAUGACGAUAUAUUUGAAGCAUUUGAUUGUUGAACACCAUAGACUCUUUAAGUUCUUAUAUUCACAUCGAAAUUUGAUACCUAAGCAUCAUUUUAUGAUCCACUAUCCAUCUUCCAUUAGGAAAAUAGGUCCAUUGUUACAUAUGUGGUCUAUGAGGUUUGAGGCUAAACACAAAAUGUUUAAAGAAUAUUUUAAAAACUUUAAAAAUAUAACCAAAUCACUUGCGAAAAAGCAUCAGAUGGCCACAGCUUAUCAUUGGGAAACAAUAAGUAUUAAAGAAAAUGAGCAUGGGCCUCUCAAACCAUUUUCACUUAAAGAUGAAGAUGUGGUCAACAAAGAAAUGCUUCAAAUGAUUUCAUCAGGAGAUGUUUUCUCAACCAGCUGGGUUAGAGUUGAGGGUGUUGAAUACAGACCAGGACUUGCUGUUUGCAGCACAAUUCAAGAUGAGAUGCCAGUGUUUUGUCAGAUAAGUGAUGUACUUUUAGUUGACAAUACCUUUCUUUUGUUAUCUAAACAGCUAUUCACAGAAACAUUUGAUGAUCAUCAUCAUGCUUUCAGGAUUGUUCAAAGUGAAGAAAGGCAUUUAGUAAAGAAAACUUAAAUUUCAUAAGCCUUUUGAUAUUCAAAACUCUUAUGGCGUUUCUAAUGAAUGCUUGUUCAUCGUACCACAAUUUAAAAUGUUGGAAACACAGCUGCAAAAAUAAAGUGUUCAAAAUUGA